GGACAGCGGCCGGUCCGGAAGGGUCACGUCCGAGCUGUUGGCCAGCUCCUGCUUCCUGUGAAGAGGCCACAGAACACAGAAGAGGAGAAGGGGGCUGCGUGGAGACACAGACACACAAGGAGAAUGCCACGGGACAACGAGGGCAGAGGUUGGAGUGAUGCCGCUGGAAUGCCAAGAAACACCAAGGACUGCGGGCCACCACCAGAAGCUACAGGAGGCAAAGAAGGAUUCUUCUGGCCCGAAUCCUUCAGAAGGAGCACCUAACACCUUGAUUUUGGACUUUUAACCCUCAGAACCGAGACGGGCUGCACCCACAGUUGCCAGACUAGGGGUCACAUUGGAG